rnacentral:rRNA from 1 species
AGCAGCCGCGGUAAUUCCAGCUCCAAUAGCGUAUAUUAAAGUUGUUGCAGUUAAAAAGCUCGUAGUUGAAUUUUGGGUUUGGCCGAUUGGUCCGUUCUUGUAACGAGUACUGGUCGGUUGGGCCUCACCGCCUGGUGAUACGUAAUGUCCUUUAUUGGGUGUUGCGAGUAGCCAGGACCUUUACCUUGAAAAAAUUAGAGUGUUUAAAGCAGGCUUAUGCCGGAAUACAUUAGCAUGGAAUAAUAGAAUAGGACGAUGAUUCUAUUUUGUUGGUUUCUAGGAGCAUCGUAAUGAUUAAUAGGGAUAGUUGGGGGCAUUAGUAUUCAAUUGUCAGAGGUGAAAUUCUUGGAUUUAUUGAAGACUAACUACUGCGAAAGCAUUUGCCAAGGAUGUUUUCAUUAAUCAAGAACGAAAGUUAGGGGGAUACGAAGACGAUCAGAUACCGUCGUAGUACUUAACCAUAAACUAUGCCGACUAGGGAUCGGGCGAUGUUUGUUUACAAUGACUCG